ACUCCUACGGGAGGCAGCAGUGGGGGAAUAUUGCACAAUGGGGGGAAAACCCUGAUGCAGCCAUGCCGCGUGUGUGAAGAAGGCCUUGGGUUGUAAAGCACUUUCAGUAGGGAGGAAGGUAGUGUAGUUAACACCUGCAUUAUUUGUACGUUACCUACAGAAGAAGCACCGGCUAACUCCGUGCCAGCAGCCGCGGUAAGUACGGAGGGUGCGAGCGUUAAUACGGUAAUUACGUGGGCGUAAAGCGCAUGCAGGCGGCCUGUUAAGUCAGAUGUGAAACGCCCGGGGUCUUAACCGUCGGAAUUGCAUUUGAAACUGGCAGGCUAGAGUCUUGGUAGGAGGGGGUUAGAAUUUCGAGGUGUAGCGG
rnacentral:rRNA from 1 species